rnacentral:rRNA from 1 species
GACGAACGCUGGCGGCGCGCCUAACACAUGCAAGUCGAACGAGCGAGAGAGAGCUUGCUUUCUCAAGCGAGUGGCGAACGGGUGAGUAACGCGUGAGGAACCUGCCUCAAAGAGGGGGACAACAGUUGGAAACGACUGCUAAUACCGCAUAAGCCCACAGGUCGGCAUCGACCGGAGGGAAAAGGAGCAAUCCGCUUUGAGAUGGCCUCGCGUCCGAUUAGCUAGUUGGUGAGGUAACGGCCCACCAAGGCAACGAUCGGUAGCCGGACUGAGAGGUUGAACGGCCACAUUGGGACUGAGACACGGCCCAGACUCCUACGGGAGGCAGCAGUGGGGAAUAUUGCACAAUGGGGGAAACCCUGAUGCAGCGACGCCGCGUGGAGGAAGAAGGU